GCAAUCCAGUGCCUUGGCGUAUUCGACGGCCCGGCUGACGCCGUCGCGGAAUUCCGCGACGCGAUCGGGAAGGAUCGCAAUCCCGCGCUCGCCCGCGCCCCAGUUGCCCGCGGGCAGAUUAUGCAGCACCUGGGUGAGGCCGUGCUGCUGCAACUGCUCGCCGAGAACCGCUUUUUCGAAGUCAUAGGGAAACAGAUACUCCACACCCGCGAACCCGGCGGCCUUCGCUGCUGCGAAGCGUUCGAUGAACGGCAACUCGUUGAAGAGCAUGGUUAGAUUGGCUG
rnacentral:misc_RNA from 1 species